GUGGGGAAUUUUGGACAAUGGGCGAAAGCCUGAUCCAGCAAUGCCGCGUGUGUGAAGAAGGCCUUCGGGUUGUAAAGCACUUUUGGCAGGGAAGAAACAGUGCGUGCUAAUACCAUGCGCGAAUGACGGUACCUGCAGAAUAAGCACCGGCUAACUACGUGCCAGCAGCCGCGGUAAUACGUAGGGUGCAAGCGUUAAUCGGAAUUACUGGGCGUAAAGCGUGCGCAGGCGGCUUUGUAAGACGGAUGUGAAAGCCCCGGGCUCAACCUGGGAAGUGCAUUCGUGACUGCAAGGCUAGAGUGUGUCAGAGGGAUGUGGAAUUCCGCGUGUAGCAGUGAAAUGCGUAGAGAUGCGGAGGAACACCGAUGGCGAAGGCAGCCUCCUGGGAUAACACUGACGCUCAGGCACGAAAGCGUGGGGAGCAAACAGGAUUAGAAACCCGAGUAGUCC
rnacentral:rRNA from 1 species